GAUAGUGUGGCCGAGUGGUCUAUGGCGCUGGUUUUAGGCACUAGUCUCUUCGGGGGCAAGGGUUCGAAUCCCUUCACUGUCA
rfam:Daphnia pulex DAPPTscaffold_3067_Cont14655, whole genome shotgun sequence.